rnacentral:rRNA from 1 species
GCUUGUCUCAAAGAUUAAGCCAUGCAUGUCUUAGUGUAAAUAACUCUUAUGAAACUGCGAAUGGCUCAUUAAAUCAGUUAUCGUUUAUUUGAUGGUCGCUUACUACAUGGAUAACUGUGGUAAUUCUAGAGCUAAUACAUGCACAAAAACCCGACUUCGCAGAAGGGUUGUGUUUAUUAGAUACAGAACCAACCCAGACUCUGUCUGGUUGCUUGGUGAUUCAUGAUAACUGAAUGAAUCGCAUGCUUCGGCGGCGAUAAAUCAUUCAAGUUUCUGCCCUAUCAUGCUCUCGAUGGUAGUGUAUUGGACUACCAUGGCUCUCACGGGUAACGGGGAAUUAGGGUUCGAUUCCGGAGAAGGAGCCUGAGAAACGGCUACUACAUCUAAGGAAGGCAGCAGG